CGGGGUAUAGCGCAGCUUGGUAGCGCGUGCGUCUGGGGGACGUGAGGUCGCAAGUUCGAAUCUUGCUACUCCGACCA
rnacentral:tRNA from 51 species